rnacentral:rRNA from 1 species
CACGUAGGGGGCAAGCGUUGUCCGGAAUUAUUGGGCGUAAAGAGCUCGUAGGCGGUUUGUCGCGUCUGCUGUGAAAACCCGAGGCUCAACCUCGGGCCUGCAGUGGGUACGGGCAGACUAGAGUGCGGUAGGGGAGAUCGGAAUUCCUGGUGUAGCGGUGAAAUGCGCAGAUAUCAGGAGGAACACCGGUGGCGAAGGCGGAUCUCUGGGCCGUAACUGACGCUGAGGAGCGAAAGCAUGGGGGAGCGAACAGG